GGCAGGAUGGCCGAGUGGUCUAAGGCGCUGCGUUCAGGUCGCAGUCUCCUCUGGAGGCGGGGGUUGGAAUCCCGCUCCUGUCA
rnacentral:tRNA from 1 species